CGCCCGCCGGCGUCCGCCUGCCUAGCCUAGCGGUCGUCCCAGCCGCCGGCGUCCGCCUGCCUAGCGGUCGUCCCACCGCCGCACCUGCUGCGCCCUCCCGGCCGGCGAGCCGCCGAGCGCGCUGUGGUAAGCGAGGGGAGAGCGGGGGGCGCCCCCGGCCGCGGUGGCCCGGCCCGGCCCUGCCCUCGCCUGAGGCGCUUGGCGGCGGGGUGCCCGUCAGGGAGGCGAAGCGGCGCCCAACCUUCAAACGUGCGCGCUCGGCGAAUCUUCUGGGAAAGGAAAGCAGCACUGGACAAGCUUUAAAAUAAUUUUAAACUUCUCUGUCUAUUAAGGUGAAACUGACCCACAUCCUCUUAAGACUAAAUCAAGCUGCAGGAGCACAGGAAUUUUCCAGAGCUUGUUGUAAGUGCUGUGGCUCAGUGGACGUCUGAGACUCUUUGGGACAAGAUUGAAGAUCCCAUUUCUAGCCUCAGUGAGUCACCGAACUCUAUGGGUGCUGAGACAACAACUCUGAAAAGCUGUACAGACAUGCUGAACACUGCAUGCUGCCAGUUUCCCCAGAGAAAUUAAGAAGGCUUUUAUAGGAAUAUAUAAACCUUUGCAGCAGACCUGCCCCAGGUGUG